rnacentral:sRNA from 1 species
CUUGCUCCAACAGCUAAGGAAUUUGCGAUAACCGCAAGAGGCAUGCCUUUCGUUUCAGGCACCUUAAUUAACACGAAUAUAAAGGAGACUAUGCAGACAACAGCAUAUAUCCCACAAACACCAAUUAGACCUAUGGAGCUUAGCAUAACAGGAAAUGCAUAAGUGACAAUAAUGGAAACAAUCCAAAAUGUCAAUGUACAAAUAGACAUACAACGGUUACGACAACUAGGAGGAAAAAGCUCUGAGCAAAGAACAUUGGGAAUUGGUCCAAAUCCCAUAACGAAGCAACAAACAUAGAUGAUAACACCAAAUGUGGAUAAAAUAGCUCCAAAAAUUGCUUCUAAGUUCAUAACAUUGACCACGAUCAAUAUAAUAAGUGAUACUAUCAACAUUGGUAUUAAAACAUCAUGCUGACCUUCUUCCAUAACGAUCCAUGCAUUUCAUUGCAAUACCAAUAGAAGGAAGCAUCGUAAAGGUGGUUAGAGCACUCGUCAAAAUAGAUGAUGAGGAAGAACUAACAUUAAACCAUUUUAACAAAAUUCCAGCUCCAGCUUGCUCAAGUAUUUGAGGAGUGUAAUAAAGAAUGCCACUAAUUCCAGCAAGCUACAAAUAAAAAGAAUUUGUAUUGUGACACCCACAAUCAAUCCCUGCUUUACCCCGGGUUGUAAAAGAUCAGACCAACUUUGUCCUUCGGUAGACAAGUUGAAUUUGGAUGGAUGCACCAUUGCAGGUCCAAUAGAAUGGUGAAAAGAAGGUGUGCUAACCAAAGCGGUUGCAUGGGAAACACGGCCAGCUUGAAGAAUAUCACCUUGUAGAAAAAUUUGUUGGAAGUCAUCUUGUGUUUGCCCAAAUUCAUUCUCUCUUUGAACAAAUUUCCAAGCUAUGUGCCAUCCUCCAUUAACACAUGCAUCAUCUAUUCCUUCCAUAUAAGAUCCUUGGUGAAAUAGAAGUGGAUGGCCGAGGUCAUCUUCAUAAUCAGUAUCAAGAUCUUCUUGGCUCUCCAAAUCUGUUUUAGGUUGUUCUAUAUCAUUUGACAUGUUUCCAGAACUAGUGAAUUCAGGUGUAUUCAAUAUAUUACCAUGGAUACUAUCAAAAAGUGUGACAAUAGGAUCAAGCAAAUUAGGUAUAGGACUAUGGUCACUUUCAACAACAUUUUUUCCCUUGAAUGGACGUGCAAACCAAGUCACACCUUCUUCAUGGCCAUACAAUUUGGUUGUUUCUGUGUUUGAAAUUGAUUGAUCAUCAAAUUCAUCAUUAUUAUGACCAAUCAUGUAAUCUUCGAUAUAAUUAUCUUGGUCAACUGUCAAGCCUUGAAUAAGAAAGGCUAUUUCACCUUCAUGAAUAAAUAAAAAAAAUAUUAAUGCCAAAUUAUUUACACCGGUAAAUAUAUAUAUAUAUAUAUAUAUAUGAGAUAUUAUAAUUUAAAAUCUAAGUUUAAUACCCACUUAGAAAAAUCUAAUUUUUAUACAUACUUGAGACUUCAUUUGUUCCUCUUAGUCUUUUCAUAACAUUUUUUGCUUCUUCUAUCUUUCCUUUGCUCACAAGGAAUACAGGAGACUCCGGUAAAUAGAAGAUGCACAGUAGUAAAAAGACAAAUGAAGGAAUUGAUAAGGAGCCAAGCAUGAUUCUCCAGUUGGGAUUUAGUGUAAGUGACAUUAAAAAUACCAUAAUGUAAGAUAGCAACAUUCCAAGAGACCCAUUGAAUUGUGGCAAUGUAUUUAAUAACCCUCGCAUAUUUGUAGGCGCAGUCUCUGAGAUAUAAAGUGGGGCAUAUGUCACCACCAAGCCUGAACCAAAGCCAUAAAUAAGUCUCGCCAACAGUAGCAUAUAUUCAUUUGAAGCCUGAAACAUGAUCAAUGCACUGAUAGAGUAUAGAAUUGCCGCAACAGAAAGCAAUGGCCUCUUCCCAAUAGAAUUGGUAAUCAUCCCUGAUAGUGCAGUGAUUAUAGUUGCACCAAUUAGUGACAUUGCUAGGAUAAGUCCCUCCAUCAUUGGAUCGUUUUGUAGGUUGAAUUCGUUCUUUAUGUACAUAAUAGCACC